GACGUAGGGCGCGAGCGUUGUCCGGAAUUAUUGGGCGUAAAGAGCUCGUAGGCGGUGUGUCGCGUCGGCCGUGAAAACCUGCAGCUUAACUUCGGGCUUGCGGUUGAUACGGGCGGGCUGGAGUUCGGUAGGGGAGACUGGAAUUCCUGGUGUAGCGGUGAAAUGCGCAGAUAUCAGGAGGAACACCGGUGGCGAAGGCGGGUCUCUGGGCCGAUACUGACGCUGAGGAGCGAAAGCGUGGGGAGCGAACAGG
rnacentral:rRNA from 1 species